rnacentral:rRNA from 1 species
GACGAACCGUGCGAACGUUGUUCGGAAUCACUGGGCUUAAAGGGCGCGUAGGCGGCUUGCCAAGUCGGGGGUGAAAUCCGGCAGCUUAACUGUCGAAGUGCCUUCGAUACUGGCAAGCUCGAGGGAGGUAGGGGUCUGUGGAACUUCUGGUGGAGCGGUGAAAUGCGUUGAUAUCAGAAGGAACGCCGGUGGCGAAAGCGACGGACUGGACCUCUUCUGACGCUGAGGCGCGAAAGCUAGGGGAGCAAACGGG